rnacentral:lncRNA from 1 species
UAGAACGUAUAGCUGCUAUGAAGAGGAGCGCACUUUGACAUGCAUGCUCAGGCAAGUACAGACGCUCGUCCCGUCUGUACUUCCUGUAGAUGGGUUAAUUUGUGACCGUAUUCCAAUAGUAGAUGUGCUAAGCAAUCGAAAAGGAUCACUUGAAAGCUCAUGGACACGGUGGGGAACGGGAAGAGUGCUGUAUUAAAAUGGCGCCUUCGUCGAGUCUGCCAAGCUCUAAUAUCGGGUCUAGUCUCGUGAGAUAGGUGUGGCGAGCGCGCCUUUGCCAAAGUAUCACCCGCGCACGUGAGUUCACGAAAAAGCCCAAUGAUGAUGUUGGUGAUGAUGCAUGGUGACGUCCCUCAGGUGCUAAUACUUUUUCUUUUUUUUUCUGUAGUCGUGAGUGGCAUACCCUUCUGCGAACAUAAUGCCAUCCACUCAUCUAAGGGAGAGAAUGUUGUUCCCAUAAUAAGCGAGAGGAGAAUCUUGUUUCAAUACUCAUUGUCAUGAAUUCUCGCAAACGCCGACGAAGCACGCUCCCUUUGUGCCCAGCUGUUGGCGCAAAGUUAGGUGCAAGCGAAGCUAUGAAAAGCACUAGUUCUAGGAAAAGGCAUUCUUCUUAUUUUUAGUCUAUGAUGGUAGGUCAUCAACGUAAGCAUGUGAUUGGUACUUUCCGCUACGUUCUAUACAUGUGUCACCUUUGUUCAUGUGUGUGCAACAUGGUCGCAAUUAUAACAUGACCGGAAUAUUGAAAAAUUGACCCUUUAGGGGUAGGCACUGACGUCAUCGAGUUAGUCAUAUUAUGGUACAGCCAGCACGGUGAAAAUCUGCGCGUUAUCUCGAUCCACUUGUCUUGAGCAGCUAAGUGGAAGCUGUGAAUAGGACUAGAAGAUGGCGUACAUUACGUCAUGCGAAUAUUCCCCAUAUUAAGGAAACAUAUCUACCUGGCAUAGUCCCGGGACCGGUCAGCACUUAUGUGAUAACGAAAGAGAGAUAUAGAGAGAGGCAUAAGGGGACAUUCCUUAGCAAUGAUCACACACUGCAAUGGCUAAGCCAUGAGAAAAGCACAAGUUCUGCUAGAGCACAUAAAAUACGUAAAUGGACUACAGUAACAAAAUUAAAUUAAUAAAUAUCGCACUACAGCAUGAUACUAAGGUUAUAUUUGCGUACCUAAUAGCUAUUACAUUUUCAUAACUUCUUUAAACACUUCGCCUCUUGGGCCAGGUUCAGAAUAAACGAACCGCAUUGCGUUUUAAUGCAAAGAGAGACAAAAUGUACAGCUCUAAAUAAAAUUAACUUUGCGAACGUGCGUUCUACAAACCAGUAUUUAAAAGCCGCCAUUUUGGAGCGGAUUUGUUUACGAAUAAAGCAAGUUAAGGUCGUAUCAAAUGGGCAAAGUGAAGUAUUUUACUCCCCAUGAAAUAAUCCAAACAGCGAUCCUCUAGUUGCUGCCCAAAAAAUACUUCUAAAUUCCAUGUUCCUUCGGCUAGAAUACACGCAGCGAAGUAAAGCGCCACACAAAAGUAAAGGCAGUGCUGUUAACGGAGCUGAAGUGAAUCACAGUCACCGAACAAUUAUGAAGAACUUGAACGGGGCUGUGUAAUACAGCGAUAUGUUAGGCCACCGGACGAGAAAAUGUUUAUAUUUAUAUCGCAGACCUAAAGAUUUUGAGAGGAACGGACGGUAAGGCCACCGCAUGUGCAUUACCAUUGAGAUUUUCAUCAACAACAAAGUGCAAGGAACUUCUGUAACGAGGCGUACUCACUGAGUUGUCUCAGUAUCGCAGGUUCGAGCUCGUAUAAUUGUUUUGCUCUUUUCUAGGUACACAAUAUACACCGUUUUUUCAUUAAUACACGCAGAUAGCUGCGUGAGCCAGGCCUUACGUUCUGUUCCCAAACCGACUUUUGUUUUUAUGCCGCGAAGCAUGUUUGUGCAAUAUCUAUGUUAAAUGGCUUUCUGUGUAAACUAAAUGCUAAAGGACUGUUAAAAAAGGCGUUUUCGCUUGUCAUAGCAAUUCAAUAGUACUGUGCGCCUGCUUUGAGAGUGUGAAUUUUAGAGGGCGAGAAAAAAAAGAAAAGACUGGCCGAUAGCCGAGAAAGCGAUGCCAGCGUGUGUGGGCAACAUUGUGCUACCGACUCGGCUUCGAGGGAGAAAUUACCAGACGUCCUUAGAGAGGAACUGUUGAAGUGACGAAUGCUGGUAUUGUUGUUAAUUUUACAGGCGAAACAAAUGCUUUUAUUGACUUGGCGACUCCAACGCAGCUUCAAGGCUGUAUUGUUAUUUAAGAACACAACUUCUAAUAAACAUUCAUGUUUUUUCUCA